GACAGAGGAGGCAAGCGUUGUUCGGAAUUAUUGGGCUUAAAGCGCGUGUAGGCGGCCGCGUAAGUGCUUUGUGAAAGUCCACGGCUCAACCGUGGAAUUGCAGGGCAUACUGCGCGGCUUGAGGUCGGUAGAGGUGGCCGGAACUCUAGGUGGCGCGGUGAAAUGCGUAGAUAUCUAGAGGAACGCCGGAGGCGAAAGCGGGCCACUGGGACGAUUCUGGCGCGGAGACGCGAAAGCGUGGUGAGCAAACAGG
rnacentral:rRNA from 1 species